UGGGGAAUAUUGCACAAUGGGGGGAACCCUGAUGCAGCGACGCCGCGUGAGUGAAGAAGUAAUUCGUUACGUAAAGCUCUAUCAGCAGGGAAGAAAAUGACGGUACCUGACUAAGAAGCCCCGGCUAACUACGUGCCAGCAGCCGCGGUAAUACGUAGGGGGCAAGCGUUAUCCGGAUUUACUGGGUGUAAAGGGAGCGUAGACGGCUGUGCAAGUCUGAAGUGAAAGCCCAGGGCUCAACCGUGGGACUGCUUUGGAAACUGUAAAGCUGGAGUGCAGGAGGGGUGGGCGGAAUUCCUAGUGUAGCGGUGAAAUGCGUAGAUAUUAGGAGGAACACCGGCGGCGAAGGCGGCCCACUGGACUGUAACUGACGUUGAGGCUCGAAAGCGUGGGGAGCAAACAGG
rnacentral:rRNA from 1 species